UUUGGAAACAAAAUUUAAAUGAAAAAUAUCCACUGAGUAGUGAGAUUCUGAUGAGACCAGAAUUCAUCAAAGUGGAUAAUCCAAUGAAGAAGACAGUAAAUUGCUUCCUGAAGCUUUCUGCCUGUGAGAAACAAGAUUCUGAUAUGACAGGGGAUAUGAUGCAACUCAUUAUGGAGAGCAUGUACAGGGAGAGCACUGCUGUAGUAAAAGCAAAGUUAGAGGUUGCAAAUUAGUAUGUACUGUCAGUUCUGUUCAGGGGAAAGUACAUUGAUUCUAAUGACCAGUCCUAGGUGUCUAGACAGAAAUACCCCUGCAGGGAAGAAGAAUAACAUCUCAAGAUAUGUUAAUUUGAUGUAAAUCUCCCUUUGACAUGCUGGAUUUCCCCUUUAUGGUUCACUCACCAGGGUUUUGGUUUGUUAUUUAGUCUCAGGAGUGCUCUGCCCCUCAGAAAGAGAGUAGAAGCAUAAUUUAUCUUCCAUGAUAAAUUAAUAGCCAUCAUCUGCUCUACAAAUCACUGUUCUAUGUGCAUGGUCAGGCUAAAUGAUUUUUCACUCUCAUAAAUGUUGUAAAGUAACAAGAAUAAUGCUGGAAUCUGAGACUGAGGAGUAUUACUGUUAAACUCAUAAAUAUUAAGGAAACCCUGUCAGUUUGUAUGUCUUUGUACGUCUUUUUCUAUUCCAUAUCAGCGUGACUUAACCAAAUUUUAAAGAUUCUUUUAGAUAUUAUUGAUGACAAACGCAUAAAAAUUUACCUCUCUAUGCAAAACAUUCUUAUAUAUUUACAGAGCUGUUUUAUUUAUCACUGAGAAUAAGGAGUAAGACCUAAUGCUAGAAUGUUGACCCUAUUGGAGCGCUCAGUAAUAGUGUUCUACAAACACUUGAGCCAACUGACAGAAACAGAAGGUUGACGUAUUAUCUCAAUCUGAAAAUGUAUCCUUGGAAAAUUUUGUUGAAUAUCUACUUGUGUAAGAUGCUCUGUUAAGCAUUUUGACAGCUAUAAACAUAGAUGGAACAUGAUUCUUAUCUUUGGGAAGAGUACUCCUACUUCCUGAGCUUACUAAAACCUGGAAUUUGUUUCACAAAACUUUUUUUCAAGGAAGCCAGCUCCAUGGAAACAAGGAAUUGCCUUCCUUUUCCCUGCUAUAUUCCCAGGUCCUAGAGCUGUGACACCAGGAUGUAUUUUUCUGCCAGCUUAUGGCAUCACCUGAGGUUUGUUAAAUUAGUAGAAUUAUGGACCCAGACCCAGAUCUACCAAAUUAGAAUCUGUAUUUACUAUUCACUGAUAAUUCUUAAACACAUUAAAUUUUGAGAAACAUUUGUCUAGGAACCUACCUGUUCCUAGUAAUUUCUCUAUGAAUUGUUACUAAAUAAAUGACUAUAGGUUUUACCAUCACAGUUAGCAGAUUUAAAAUCCAUAAUAAAUGUACUUCAAUAAUAUCCUUAACAGAUUUAAUGAAAUAUAAUCUGCAUGCCAUAAAAUUCACCCAUUUUAAGUGUAUAGGUCAAUGACUUUUAGUAAAUUUGUAGAGUUGCGCAUAUAGCACUGCAGUCUAAUUUCAGAACCUUUCUGUCACUCCCAAAAGAUCCCUUUUGCCCAUUUGCAGUCAUUUCCCAUUUCCAACUGCAGCCACUAUAACAUUAUUUUAAUAUCCAUCUGCCAGUCCACAUUGUGGAUACAGAGUAAAUAAAGGGGGAACAAAUACAUCUCUUUCAUACACACUUCGGUAAGUAAAAGUGAUUCUUGAAUGAGUUUCAUUGUGGUUUAACUUAGCAUUGGCCACAACUAAAUGGAUUUGCUAAACAACUAAGAGUUCAAAUAUGAUUCAAGGGAAAUGUUUACCACUUUGGGGGAACAAAACGUUUGCAAAUAGUUUAUUUUCUAAACGGGGCACAUAUUUACAACUAAACAUUAUCAGUCUAACAAAAACAGAAGCCAUAAGAGUUUAGUUUUUAACUUUAGUACACUAAUUACAAAUCACUGCCAUCUACUCAGGGCCAAUGCUAGGCCAGCCUGCAACCUUCGAUUGAUAUUUGAGGUUUUGUAUCUCUUUAGAAGUUUGUAUUAGCUGAGUUGACUUUUGGGAUGUGGGGGAGGAAAUCUCUUUACUCUUUCGUCUCCUCUACUAAAUUCAUGUUCUUAAGAUCUUUCUCUUGGACUUUCUGAGUUGGCCAAUAAAUGAUCUCAUUGGCCCCAAUCAUUCUAUAUCUUCAUCUCCUUCAUUCUCUAUUCCCAACUCCAAGAGGAGUUAUUUCAAAUCCUCUGCUUAAAAACCUUCCAUGAUUUCAAACUGUUCAUAUAGUGAAGUCCAAACUCUCUAGCAUGUAUUUAGUGCAGCCUGUUUUUUUUCUUUCUUUUUUAAAAAAUUUUUUUUUGCAGCCUGUUUUUUUCUAUCUCAUGGCUUGUGCUGCUCACAUUCCCACCUGGCCUGUUAGACAUGCCACACCUCUCACUGUUCUCAAAAUCUUCCAAGCACAUCACACAUCCAGGUCUUUGCUAAGUCUGUUACCUCCCUGCGUAAUGCUAUCUCAUUUCUCCCUACUCAUACAUGAAAUCUUAUUAUUUGGACAAUAACUUAAAUGCUUCUAUGAUCCCUUCUCCAAGAUGCAUCCUUUCCUCAAUGAAGUUGCCUCUUUUUCCAUUUGUGCUCACUUAAUAUCGUAUUUUUACUUCAAAUUUAUUAUAUAGAAGGAUGAUGACUAUGUCAUAAUUAGUUACCUGUUCCUAUCACCUUUCACCAUAUCUGUUAUAUAGUAGGAGCUUAAUAAAGAAUGUGUAAGUUCGUGAAUGGUUAAGGGAAUCUUUGAAAACCUGCCUUUGAAGAUUGUUGGACCUGGAAUCGCUCUAACAUCUAGAUGAAACAUAAACUUCGAACACACUAGUCAGAAGUACUUGGUAUUGUGUGUGUGUGCGUGUGUGUGUGUGUGUCCCUUUUGUACCAAUGUAUCUAUUGAAACUUACAAUUUGAGACAAGAAAAAGCAUUAACAAGGUAAGAUUUGUUUUUUGUAGAGUUGGUCCUAGAAGUCUGGCUUAUGAUGGAAUUUAAUAUACUGUUUCAUCCAUUUAAAAUCAUAAACUCUAAUAGCUGAAAGGACUUAAAAGAUAGUUUUUUUUUAAUCCACUGGUUUUCCAGGUGAGAAAAAUAUUGCCCAUUGUCUUUAUUUGUACAGUUUUCUUUUUCAUCUCGCAUGACAGGGGACUGAGGCAAUCUUUUUACUUUUAAUCUUUUACUCUAUAUCUCUUUAUUAAUAACCUAGUUAAACACUGUGCCUGAAUAUGCCCGUUCUCUGCAUAGGAUUUUGAAAGCCGCAGAACUAUUUCACAAGGCAGAUCUGGUUUCUUGGGGAAGAACUCAGGGAAGAAUUCUCCAUUUUCCAACCCACUUGUAAUAGAAUGUUCCUUCCCCAACAUUUAUUUGCCACUUGGUGGCCACUGGGCUUUGUGGUAAUAAAAAAAAAAUCACACGAAACUAAAUAAGAGGUCUGAAAUUCGCUUUGACUAUUUUUCCCCCUUUAUCAACUCUGUAUUUUAAAUCAUUAAAAAAAAGUUAAUUUCCCCUACAUCCUCAUAAAUUGGGCAAUA